rnacentral:rRNA from 1 species
UACGGAGGGGGCUAGCGUUGUUCGGAGUUACUGGGCGUAAAGCGCACGCAGGCGGUCUGCUAAGUUUGGAGUGACAGUUGGUGGCUUAACUGCCAAAGUGCUUCGAAAACUGACAGACUUGAGGGCUUCAGAGGGACACGGAAUUCCGGGUGGAGUGGUGAAAUGCGUAGAGAUCCGGAGGAACACCAAAGGCGAAGGCAGUGUCCUGGGGAGUACCUGACGCUCAGGUGCGAAAGCCAGGGGAGCGAACGGG